AUUGUCAAGUAUCGCGCAGAUAUAGUUUGUCUGCAAGAGGUACAGAAUGAUCAUUUUGAUGAGUUUUUCGCUCCUGAGCUGGAUAAGCAUGGAUACCAAGCUCUUUUCAAGAGGAAGACAAAUGAGGUUUACGUUGGUAAUACAAACACAAUUGAUGGA